rnacentral:rRNA from 1 species
UACGAAGGGGGCUAGCGUUGUUCGGAAUUACUGGGCGUAAAGCGCGCGCAGGCGGUCCUUUAAGUCUGAUGUGAAAGCCCACGGCUCAACCGUGGAGGGUCAUUGGAAACUGGGGGACUUGAGUGCAGAAGAGGAGAGUGGAAUUCCACGUGUAGCGGUGAAAUGCGUAGAGAUGUGGAGGAACACCAGUGGCGAAGGCGACUCUCUGGUCUGUAACUGACGCUGAGGCGCGAAAGCGUGGGGAGCAAACAGG